rnacentral:rRNA from 1 species
UACGGAGGGUGCGAGCGUUGUCCGGAAUCACUGGGCGUAAAGGGCGCGUAGGCGGCCGUGUAAGUCACUUGUGAAAUCCCGGGGCUCAACUCCGGGGCUGCAGGUGAGACUGCGUGGCUAGAGCACGGUAGAGGCGAGUGGAAUUCCAGGUGUAGCGGUGAAAUGCGUAGAUAUCUGGAGGAAUACCGGUGGCGAAGGCGGUUCUCUGGGCCUUACCUGACGCUGAGGAGCGAAAGCGUGGGGAGCGAACAGG